GAAUGAUGCCACUGAAAUCAGGUCAGUUUCCUGCUGUACAUAAGAAUGGCCAUACUGGGUCAGACCAAAGGUCCAUCUAGCCCAGUAUCCGGUCUUCUGACAGAGGUCAAUGCCAGGUGCCAGAGGGAAUGAACAGAGCAGCUAGGGUGAUUCACCAUUGGAACAAACUACCAAGGGAAGUGGUGGAGUCUCCAUUUGUUGAUGUCUUCAGAUCAAGACUAGGCUGAAUUCUGAGAUGUCAACCAAGCUCAUUAUACAAAUGCAGAAGGAGCUCCACACAACAGAGCAACCUGAAGAGACUUAUUUCUGUGACUGCUGCCUAGAGACAUCUAUAAAGUCAUAAUUAAAUCAGAAGAUGGAAGAGGCAUUGAACAAUUGCUGUUGAAAGUUCAGGAGUAUAAUGUAACUGUCUUACAGCAUAAAUAAAAGAGUACCAAUAUG